rnacentral:tRNA from 1 species
GUGUCUGUAGCUCAGUUGGUUAGAGCAAUCGCCUGUUAAGCGAUGAGUCGGAGGUUCGAGUCCUCCUAGACACGCCA